AGCAAGGGUUUAUUACCCAACUCCGAAACACUAACUACUGCACUGUCUUGUUUAGACAAGCAUUCUCAAAUGCACAUGAUUUUGAGUGCUAUGGAUCAGCUUAUCCCUUGUUCUAAUAUUCUUGGUUCCAGUACCUAUAACAUGCUCAUCAGGGGCCUUUUGAAAGAAGGAUAUAGGAGUGCAGCUGGUCGCUUGCUAGAUGUAAUGUUGGGGAAGGGUUGGAUUCCUAGUACUGAAACUCAUCAAUUACUGGUUGGUUCUGUUGUAAAAGAGGAAUCAGAAGUAAGAGCAUAUAUGAGCGAAAAUUUUGGUCCGCAGGAUGAGGUUAGCAGCAUACUUGAAAAUGCAUUGGCUCAAACAUAACCUGAUUCCAUAUAUCAACACUAUCAUUGGCCGUUGUUGAAUGUCUCCAUUAAGUGCGAUUGUGAAAGCCUCUGUAAGACUUGUAGAUUUCAUCUCAGACUUCAGUGCUAUAAAAGGUAUGCUAUGUUCACACAGCACAUAACUUUGCUUCACGUGGCAUGGGUACUUAACAAAUUGUUCUUCUGACAGUCUUACAUGCACUUAAUAUGUUGGUACAUACUCCACCAAAUUUUAAAAAAUUUUUUUUUUUUGUGUUUUUAAUUUCUUUAGUGGUAGGGCUGGUGUCGGUGUCAGGUCCUGAUUAUGACACUUCAGUGGAUACUGUCAAGUUGUUUUUCGGAUGCUUCUUUGUUGUAUACGUUCUUUGCGGGGAUGUUUCUCAUCAACUCAUGCUCUAUUACAAAUGUACUGAAUUUUGAAGGAAGUUGCUAGAUGGGAAAGUUGUAGGAGCUCUUUGGAAAGAGAUUCUUUUGGAAAGUCAUCUGUACUUGGAACGUCUGGAAUUACUGUUGUACAAGGCAUAAAGGCUUUUGGUUCAUUCGUCCCGGAUAAGAUAAUUAUGUCGUGGAAACUGAUAAUGAUAGGUAUGCUUGCUGAUAGUUUACGUGAAAUUAAUUAAGAGCUACAAGCUUGCGAUGUGGCCUUUUACAUCAUGCACUGGAGGUUAAGGUAAAAGGGACUUGAAUGAAGACGGUUUAGAUAAUACUUACUUUUUUGGGAGGAAUUAGAAGGUACAAUGAAGUAAGGGGACACUUUUGAGCAGCCAAAAGGAUGAGCCAGUUAUCACCUGAACUCCUAAACCUGGGAGUUAAAUUAAAGGUAAAAAAUCUACAUACAACAGAAUUUACAGAACGAAUGACAGGCAGCUGACAGCAGAUUGUUCAAGGCAUAUGCAAUUUGCAGAGUAUGAAAGAUACGGCAACUGGAUUGGAUCAAUGAAAAUUUUGUGGUAUGCUGGUUAUAUCUUGUAUGUAUAGUAUAAUUGAGCUAUAUUGAAGCAUGUUUAAAGCAGGUCCAACAUUGUUAUUAUGUUGAUCCUUCUUCUAGAUGCAUGUGUACACUCAAGUGGGAAAAAAUUGUGCGAGCUUCUGAUGGCAACCUGCUUCACUUGUAUCUAUUGUAAUGACAUAAAUCAUGGCAUAGUUGUCAAUGACUAGCUCUUGUGAUGUCUGUGAGAAGGUUUAAUGUUUUUGAAUCUUCAGACUAGAAUUAUUAUUAUUAUUAUUAUUAUUUUUGGCUGCCUCUGUGGAGUAGUUGGGAAUUUUCGUGAUUGUUGUACGUGGAAUUUCCACGUAUCAUGUUCACUUUUCUUGUGAAAGGGCAAAAUCUGAACCGUGUAGCGUGUCUGCAUUGAGGUUAAGGCUUGCUCUUUGGGACGGAUAAAUGCAGCUAGUUUGGUUUAGAUUCUGGAUUAAUGACUUAAACAGAAGUAGUCUGGUGGACAUGGUCCUGUGCUUAUCAUUCUUCUCCUAGUCUCUGGGAUUUCAUGCUGUGUAAUUUGUAUCUUCUGGCUUCAGCUGGGAUUUUGGAUCAUUCUUGCCUAGUCUUUGUGGUGGUGUACUUUGUUUCUUUAGCUGGGAUUAUGAUGACAACAUAACCUCGUAAUGCGAGCUCUUUUAUGCAGGCGGGCACUUGUUUGCUGUAAUUGCUAUUGGAUUCUUCAGUCAUGCACAUGCACUUAGGUAUCCAAAACAUGAUCUUGUGUAGUAACAUGGGGCAUGCGGUAGAUUAAGUCUUUCUGCAUGAUUGAGCACAUUUACUAAGGUAAAGCUUAAAGGCCAGUUUAAGUAAUCGCAGCAGUUUUCUCUGGCAAAUUGCCAUCUGCUAGGUCGUAGGUACACAACAUUCAAAAUUAUUUUUUUCUCCAGUUUCUGCUAAUUUCUUGCAGCUAACGAGAGCCGUCCUAGUUAUUCUUUUCUUGGUUUCGUCUCCAAAACCACACGGGGCCAUGCUUUUUCUCUCCCCAACCUGGUAAUGAUCCAUUGCAAUGUUAAAUUCACAUCUGAAAAUGUACUAGCUCGAUUAUCAUGAACGACUGUCUUGUCUAGAUGAUGCUCUUUUCUGCGCGUCCAAUUCGAAGGAAGGAAGGAAGAUUCAUGCGACAGCCAACGGGCAUUGUCUGUGGUUGUUGGACGUGUUGCACGUUUGACGCGAGGUUGGUUUACUUUCCGCGAAUACUGCUGCCAUUGAAGAUCAGUCGGCAGUCUGACUUUGAUUUUUUUUUUUUUUUUUUACUAACGACUGCUAAUCCUCCCAUGGAGGGAAAACCAUCCAACUAUACUAAUUGUUGUUUGUGACCCAAUCUCGUGUGUGUCAAUUUCUUGAUUGUCAAAAGGGAUGGAACAUAAAGACUAGGACUCAAUUCCUGUUUAACACCCCCUAUGGCUUGACAGGAGGAGGGAAAAAAGCAGUGGAGGAGGCAGGCAUACAUGGUACAGGACUAAUGACUUGUCCACUGACUUUGGGUAUUGACUCUCAAGUCUCACCCAUUGGAGGCAAGAAAGCAGCAUGAGUUGCUUGGUCCAUCAAAUUGCCUGGUGGGGUGGAAAGUGGAAAGUGGGAAGUGGGAUUUGUGUGAGUCCUACUACUUAAUAGUGCAUAAUCAUUUUGUGCAUUGUAUGGCUAUAUCCCAUUACCUAGUUGCACAAAUUGAGAUGGUAUGCAAGCCAAGCCAACUGGUGUGUCACUUAAAUGAUACCAGAUUUGGUUAUUGAAUAAAAUUUUCAUAUUGGGUUUUGAACUUUUGAUACAAAUAAAAUUCCAAAUUCACGUAUAAAUGAGUUAAGCUACUUGAGUUUGAAUUAAAGUUGGCUUGAUAAAAUAAAAAUCGGUUGGAGUUCAACGAGAAGGAUGCUAAGGUGCUCGGCUCCGGAGUAGAAGUCCAAUUCUUGAGACAGCUUACAAUUUUAUUUUAUUUUUUAAAAAAAAGAAGAGAAGAGAGAGAGAGAGAGAGAGAGAGAGAGAGAGAGAGAGAGAGAAAUUGUUCUGGAGGAAGAGAGUAUAAAGAGACUGUAUAAGGAACUAACAGAUAUAUAGACUCAAUAAAUCAAAUGAGUGUUCUAGUAUCUCUUUUAAAUUUUUUUCAUUGUAGGUGAGAUUCGAACCCCUGACUUGCAGUUCAAAGAGAGAUUUAUUCACUUUUUUAUGGCCACUGAUGAUUUACAUCACACUUAAUUUCUCUUUUUAUGAAAAAAUUGGUUGGACAUAUAUCUACUUAUCUAAGACUAAGAGCUGCUUCUAGCAUUGAACAUCAAAGACGAAAUUUUUCAUCUAUGAUUGAACACUCCAAAUCAUUAAAAUUUGAUAGGGUAGGAGAAUCUUGCCUCCCACCAAUUGAUACAUUAAGGUACUAUGGUUAAAAAAUUUAGACGGGUGUAUAAUGUAUCCAUCUGGUCCAAUAUAAAUUAUAUAAUUAUCGUUUUGAAAAAAAAAAAAAAGAACACCCAAUAGAAAGAGAAAGAGAAAAAGAAAAAGAAAAAUGAAAAAAUGUAAGGAGGAGAAGAAAACAAAUUACUCUUUUUAACUUUUUGUUAGCGACUGACUAAUGAACUGCCCAUCCAUCCAAAUGUUCUUGCACAAACGUCACCUAAGCAUAAGCUUUUUUUUUUUUUUUGGGAGAAAAACCUGAGCCCUAAUUCGAAACUUGUACUAUAUGCUAAAAAAGUUGCACUAAAAAUGUUAAAAUGCCGGUUGAGAAAUUAAUGUCUCGAGAAACAGGAGAGCAAUGGCAAUCACGGAAUCCCAGUGUCCCAUUCCUUAUUUGGUGUUAAAUUACUUCCUGAAUCAAUUUUUAGUUUUUACUUCUUCCUCUUCCACAGGGAGCGAUUCCCAGGCAAAUCAUUAAAAAGCGAAAAUCCCAGGUUAGAGUUUGAUCAUUCCCGCUGUUUACUACUUUUCUUUGCUGCAAACCUUUCAUAUGGAACUUCAAUGGCUGUAAAGCUUGCAUCUUUAGCAUUUUUAAAGAGAAUUCCCAAAAGGGUCAAUUUAAAUGCCUCUUUUUCUUCACUUUCAUGUGCAAAUGUUGUUCAUAUCAAUUCAGAAACUGAUCAUACUCCGUCAAAAUCUGCUGAUUUUGAGUCAAAGAUCCAAUUUUUAAAGAAUAAGCUUCAUCCAGAUAUCUUGGUCCAUGUCUUGGAUUCCACAACUGAUGUAAAUUCUUCGUUGAAAUUGUUCAAAUGGGCUUCACUUCAGAAAACGUUUAAGCAUAAUGUGGAUACUUAUUAUUUGAUGAUUUUGAAGUUGGGUUUGGCUGGAAAUAUUGAGGAAAUGGAGGGAUUUUGUAAUGAGAUGUUAAAGGAGAAAUGUCCUGGUUUUGAUGAAGCUUUCUUGGGAUUGAUUGAAUGUUUUGUUAGAAAUGAUAGGCUUGACGAGGCUUUGAGGGUUCUUUCUUGUAUGAAUUCAAGAAGUUUUAAGCCUUCAGUAAGUGUUUUUAAUAUAGUAAUGGGUGCACUUUUGGUGGCAAAGAGGGAUUUCAAGGAUGUAUUAUUUGUGUAUAAAGAAAUGGUGAAAGUAGGAAUUGUUCCCAACGUGGAGACUUUGAAUUACUUGUUGGAAGCGCUGUUAGAGGAUGAUAGGGUGGGUACAGCUUUGGAACAAUAUAGAAGGAUGAAUAAGAAAGGGUGUAGUCCUAAUAGUAGGACCUUCGAGGUUCUCAUUAGUGGACUUAUUGCCAGGGAAAGGAUCGAUGAAUCUUUGCUUCUUUUAGAUGAAAUUUUUGAACUUAGGUGUGAGGUGGAUUUGAGCUUUUACACUCGGAUAGUACCGCUGCUUUGCCAGAUUAAUAAAUGUGAGGCAGGGAUGAUGUUACUUGUGAAGAUGAAAGCUUCAAAAAUUUCUCCAGAUUCUUCAACUUAUGGAGCUAUGAUAAUAUGUUUAUGCCAGAAUCUUUAUGUGGAUGAAGCUGUCAACCUUUUUGAAGAGAUGGUGGGCAGCGGAAUAACUCCAGAGGAUGAUCUCUAUGUGGAUAUUGUGAAGGGAUUUUGUACAUUAUGUAAAUUUAGUGAAGCAAAGAAGUUUUUAGUAGAUAAUGAUGUUGAUAUAACUUGUCCUUACAAUGCACUUCUUGGAGCUUAUUGCAGUUAUGGUAAUCUUGCGGCAGCAAAAGAUCUGUUUGAUGAUAUGUUUGAGAGGAGUUUAACUGAUAGCUUGUCUUGGAAUUUCUAUAUUCGGUGCCUAUGUGAGAUUGGCGAUAUCAAGAAAGCCUUGGAAGUUCUUUGUAGAAUGAUUGUUUUUUCAUUUCUUCCUGACUCUAUCACUUACUCCGCUCUUAUCAUUGGCAGAUGCAAGCAGGAUGAACUUGAUGAUGCUAUACUGUUGUUCAAUCAGGUCCAGCAGAAGUGUGAUGUUUUGGAUUCUGUAUCCUAUGCUGAACUUGUUAGAUGCCUUUCUUAUAAUGAAAAGAUUCAAGAGGCUGCUGAAGUUUAUUGUUAUAUGUCAGGAAAGCAAGUAGCUUUGCAGUCAACCUCUUUUGAUUUGUUCAUUAAGGGGCUUUGUGCAAUAAGAGAAGUCGAGAGUGCAAUCAGGUUUCUAUCUCUUGCUCAUUGUUCUGGUACAUCGUACUCGUCUGUAGCUUACUACAGCAUAAUGCGAGUUUUAUCCAAGUUAGAAAAGGCAGAUGACCUUUUAGUGGUAUUAUCACGAAUGAUUGUAGAUGGUUGUCCUGUUGAGGAAGAAACUUAUUUUAUCCUCAUAGAAAGUAUGAGUCUAGCUGAUAAUCCAGACCAUUGUGCUCGGUUUUUCAAUGUGAUGCUCAGCAAGGGUUUAUUACCCAACUCCGAAACACUAACUACUGCACUGUCUUGUUUAGACAAGCAUUCUCAAAUACACAUGAUUUUGAGUGCUAUGGAUCAGCUUAUCCCUUGUUCUAAUAUUCUUGGUUCCAGUACCUAUAACAUGCUCAUCAGGGGCCUUUUGAAAGAAGGAUAUAGGAGUGCAGCUGGUCGCUUGCUAGAUGUAAUGUUGGGGAAGGGUUGGAUUCCUAGUACUGAAACUCAUCAAUUACUGGUUGGUUCUGUUGUAAAAGAGGAAUCAGAAGUAAGAGCAUAUAUGAGCGAAAAUUUUGGUCCGCAGGAUGAGGUUAGCAGCAUACUUGAAAAUGCAUUGGCUCAAACAUAACCUGAUUCCAUAUAUCAACACUAUCAUUGGCCGUUGUUGAAUGUCUCCAUUAAGUGCGAUUGUGAAAGCCUCUGUAAGACUUGUAGAUUUCAUCUCAGACUUCAGUGCUAUAAAAGGUAUGCUAUGUUCACACAGCACAUAACUUUGCUUCACGUGGCAUGGGUACUUAACAAAUUGUUCUUCUGACAGUCUUACAUGCACUUAAUAUGUUGGUACAUACUCC
rnacentral:lncRNA from 1 species